ensembl:lncRNA
AUGUCAAAUGUGGUCACUUUUGAUGUCAAGGGCUCCAUAGGUUCCCAUUGCCUUCCAUUAUAUGGACAAAAAUACCAUGGAAGUCAAAGAGGAUUAAAACCGUUUGUUUACUUAGAUUCUUCAAAAUAUCUUCUUUCAUAUUCCACAGAAGAAAGAAAGUUUUGCCACGACAUAAGGGUGAGUAACUACUUUAUGGAUGAACUUUCCCUUUAAAUUUAUGUAAUUAUUAAAUGUUAUUCACGUGAAAACAGGUUUUGUCAGUAGUAUUUUAUAAAAAUAAAUGAAUUAAAUGUUACA